rnacentral:rRNA from 1 species
GUCCUCUUGUUUGUAUAUGAGGUCUGACCUGCCCGGUGAAAUUUGUUUUAACGGCCGCAGUAUUUUGACUGUGCAAAGGUAGCAUAAUCAUUAGUCUUUUAAUAGGGGGCUGGUAUGAAGGGUUUGACGAGGUGUUUACUGUCUCAUUUAAUUUGUAUUUAGAAUUUAACUUUUCAGUUAAAAGGCUGAAAUUAUAUUGGAAGACGAGAAGACCCUAUAGAGCUUUAUAAUUAAAAUUUUAAUUAUUUUUUGUUUAUUAUUUUUUAUUAUUAUUUUAAUUAUUUUGUUGGGGUGACAAAAAUAUAUAAUUAACUUUUUUAUUUAAUUAACAUUGAUUUAUGAUUAUUAGAUCCAUUAUUAGUGAUUGUUAGAUUAAGUUACCUUAGGGAUAACAGCGUAAUCUUCCUUCAGAGUUCAUAUUUACGGGAAGGCUUGCGACCUCGAUGUUGGAUUAAGAUAAUAAUUAGGUGUAGCCGCUUAAUAUAUAGGUCUGUUCGACCUUUAAAUUCUU